rnacentral:lncRNA from 1 species
GUAAGUCCGGUAAUGCUCCGUAACCCUGUUCUGGCAUCAGAUACGGGUUAGGGGUGUUACACAUUCAAUUAUAAUGAUAGCACAAUUUGAAUACAUCACAAACUCACUCACUAAUGUUCCUCACAAUGAACAGGUUGAGCUUUUUCAAAUAUGCACCAGAGGCGUAUCUAGGGGAGCUAGCAUGGCCUCGACCCCCCUAAAUUAGAAAAAUUUCAUUUAGGCCCUUUAUAAUUUAUAGAAUUUUAAAUUAGUAAUGAUAAAAUUGCACAUUGGCCUCCCAAAAAUGAUAAAAAAAUAUUUUAGUAUUCUAAAAAUUAUAAAAAUAUAAGCUAUCAAAAUGAUGAAAUUGUAUUUUUACUAUAAUAAAAAUAUACAAGGUAAUUCUGCCCAAAAAUUUUUCCUAACUUCACCCCUGAUCUGCACCGAAAUCCGUAAAUGUGUUCGCGUCUCAAUCUUGAUGAAUUAAGCUAGUAUGAUAAGAACAAAAUCUAAAGAGUUCUGGUUCAUAUCAAUCACCUUCAAUGUCUGCUUGAGAUAAACAAAAACACACCUUUGAUCGCGUAUCUCUUAAAUAUAAAAAAUAAUCGCACUAAAUCACUUCAAGUUUUCUUGCUUGAUGAAAUAUCAUCUUCAAUUAUACUGCAAUAUUUACUACACAAAAUCCUUUAAAUAAUUAAACAUAAUCAAAAGAGGCCAAUAAAAAUUAACAAAUCUAAGCAUCUCAAUUACUAAUCUAAGCUGCAACUUGCUGUAUCAACCAUAAUAAAAAAUAUAAAUGUCUGCAUUAGCAAAUUCACCUUUUAAUCUUUUAAAUUAAAAAACAAAAUGCCGCUGCCAAUAGUUUAUUCGUUUCUUUCUUCACUUUUGAUUCACUGCCUGGCUUAAUAUCCAAUGAUUAGUUUUUAGGUUUAAAAAGAAUAAAUAAUUAAAAUAUAACAAAAGUACACAAAUACAUAAUAUAUUUGACAUUCAUGAUUUACAUGAGUAGGCUAUAAAAUAUAACCGUUGAAUUGUUAAAAUAUUAAUCAUAUAAAUAAUUAUGAAAAUGUGUAAAAUUAUUUUAAAUAUUAAUCAUAUCGACCUUUCCUCGUAUAAAAAUGAUAUAAGUACAUAAAUAUUUUUGAAAUUUAGAUAAUACAAUCUAGUAAUGUACAAGAAUUUAAAUAUAUAAAAUACUUUUAAAAUGUUUAUGGCGCUAUAUAUACAUAUAGAAACAAAUAAAAUAAAAUAAAAUAAAAAUUGCAAAAUGAAAACCGAAACAAAUAAAAAGAAAAUGUAUUUGAUGUUUAACCCAGCCAGUGAAUCUAAAAAGAAGAAAGCAAAGAAGCUGCUUUCAAAUUUCUGAGGA